rnacentral:rRNA from 1 species
AUUGAACGCUGGCGGAAUGCUUUACACAUGCAAGUCGAACGGUAGAGGGGGCAACCCCUCGAGAGUGGCGAACGGGUGAGUAAUAUAUCGGAACGUGCCCAGUCGUGGGGGAUAACGUAGCGAAAGUUACGCUAAUACCGCAUACGAUCUAAGGAUGAAAGCGGGGGAUCGCAAGACCUCGCGCGAUUGGAGCGGCCGAAAUCAGAUUAGGUAGGUGGUGGGGUAAAGGCUCACCAAGCCAACGAUCUGUAGCUGGUCUGAGAGGACGACCAGACACACUGGAACUGAGACACGGUCCAGACUCCUACGGGAGGCAGCAGUGGGGAAUUUUGGACGAUGGACGCAAGUCUGAUCCAGCCAUUCCGCGUGCAGGAUGAAGGCCCUCGGGUUGUAAACUGCUUUUGUACGGAGCGAAAAGGUCUCUCUUAAUACGGGGGGCUCAUGACGGUACCGUAAGAAUAAGCACCGGCUAACUACGUGCCAGCCGCCGCCGUAA